rnacentral:rRNA from 1 species
UACAGAGGGUGCAAGCGUUAAUCGGAAUGACUGGGCGUAAAGGGCGAGUAGGCGGGUGUAUAAGUGAGGUGAUAAAGACAUGGGCUUAACCUAUGGGUGACACCUUAGACUGUAUAUCUAGAGACAAGGAGAGGGGAGUGGAAUUUCCGGAGGAGUGGUGAAAUACGUAGAUUUCGGAAGGAACACCGGAGGCGAAGGCGACUCUCUGGCCUUGUUCUGACGCUGAGGAGCGAAAGCGUGGGUAGCAAACAGG